CCUACGGGAGGCUGCAGUGAGGAAUAUUGGUCAAUGGGCGCGAGCCUGAACCAGCCAAGUAGCGUGAAGGAUGACUGCCCUACGGGUUGUAAACUUCUUUUAUAAAGGAAUAAAGUGAGGCAAGUGUGCCUUUUUGUAUGUACUUUAUGAAUAAGGAUCGGCUAACUACGUGCCAGCAGCCGCGGUAAUACGGAGGAUCCGAGCGUUAUCCGGAUUUAUUGGGUUUAACGGGAGCGUAGAUGGGUUGUUAAGUCAGUUGUGAAAGUUUGCGGCUCAACCGUAAGAUUGCAAUUGAUACUGGCAGCCGUGAGUACAGUUGAGGUAGGCGGAAUACGUUGUGUAGCGGUGAAAAGCUUAUAUAUCACGAAGAACUCCGAUUGCGAGGGCAGCUUACUAAACUGCCACUGACAUUGAUGCUCGAAAGUGUGUGUAUCAAACAGGAGUAGAUACCCGAGUAGUC
rnacentral:rRNA from 1 species